AUGAGAGGAGACUUUGAAGCAGAGUUGAGAGAGACUGUAAAUUAUUAGGGUUAGGCAAAUUGGCCAUUGAAGAGGCGGCGAAGAAGAAGAUCUGAUACAGAAAAUUGGGAAGUGAUGAGAAACGGGGGAUGAAUAUUUGCCGAAAAUCUUUGGGGAUUGGUGGCUUGGAAAGCUUCGUUCUUUUCUCUUUUGAAUGAAUUUAAUGGCUUUCCAAGUCCACCCAUUCCUAUUGUUUUCGGUCUUCUCUCUCCUUUCUCUUCUUUCGCUUCUUCACCCUCAUCAUAUCCAACCCCUCAAUUUUCCCAACUGGUAUUUUUCUUUUUCUCUUUCUUUUUCUCUUUAUCUUUACCAUCAAUCAAACAUGAUUAUUUAAUCUCUGCUUUUGAAGAAUCUUGCAGAUCUACUCUGAUGAUGGUUGAUCAGCAAAAGGGCUUUGUUUUGAUGCUAAUUUCUCAAAUCACAGAUUGUCAGCUUUGAUGUUGAAUAGUUGUCACUUGUUUGCUCAAAAAUAGAAAGUGACAUGGAGUAUGACAUGCACUUUCUGGCUUCAAAAGAACCCCUAAAGUUGUGCCAUGUAAGUAAUUCUAUUCAACUGGUAGAAUGUGUAUAUAGCAUGAAUAGUUUUGUUGACACUGCCAAUAAACAUAGGCAUCAAAAUAGGCAUAUUCAGUUGGAUACAGACAUGAACAUGCACAGGAGUUAAAAUGUCGUAAUCUCUCUCCUUUAAAAUCAUUUUUGACCAGAUCUAGUAGCGAAACAUACAUCUUGUAGCUUCUUAAGUAUCGAAACUUUGACAAGGAAAUGGGAAUAUGACCUCUGAAUUUGGGUUCAACAGUGAUUGGUUUGGCUGUACAAGGAGUGUUUUUUUUUAAGAGUGACUUCAAUGGGGUUGUAGUUUGUGGUGGCUCAUUCUGCUGAAAAUCUAGUUCUUAUAUUUUACUUUAUUUUUUUUUUCCUUUUUUUUUCUUCUUGUUGCAUACACAGUAAAACUUAUGCAUAUGCCAUCUGCAGUAACAUGGAAUGUGAAAUGCACGUAUGGCUUCAGAGAGGCGUGUUUUUAGCUUUUACUAUUUGAUUAUCAGCUUCAGGUUCUAGAGAUCCUACUGCUGUAUUGGCUCCAUUAUUUUUUCCUUUUUUAUUCUUUAAUUAAUUUUUGUUUCCUAACCCAAAGUCUACAUUGCUGCGAGUUUUUUUUUUUUUUCCGAUGGAAGGAUAUGCAGCAAGCCUAUUGACUAAGCCAAGUUUGCUGCUCACUCACGCAUUCCAGCCUCUUGGCAAUAAUUUUUACCCAUUGCAUUCUGCUGUAAUUGACCCUUGUAGCUGAUGCUUGUUGCAGGCUUGUUCAAUUGCCAGAGGUCAACGGCGAAGUGGGUGUUUUUGGUACCUCUCAGCUGGAUGUUUGUUGAUAGUUAGGAUUGGAGCCUUCUUUCCCUUUUUUAGCUGUCUUAGUUUUUAGUUUGAUAUUGUUGUAAAUAUGAAGGUUGCUUUUUCAUUCUCCUCUUGAUGAAGGAUGCUUUGCUAUUCUGUAUUGUGUUCCUUGUUUUUAGCCUGUAAGAGUCUUGUUAUCUCCUGUUACUAUCUUUAUAUUUGAAUGAGGUUAUUUUUCUUGCCCCAAAAAGUGAGAAAAAAGAGUACUUUGAAGUGGGAAAAAAAAAGAAAAAAGAGUACUUUGGAGUGGUGAUAAUUAAACGCUCUUUAAAUACUAAUAAAAAAUUAUUAUUAUUAUUACCAA